AAACUUUGUGUUGCUUAUAUCCUUAGCCCACCAUGGUAACCACAUCACUACUUCUUGAAAUAAAUCUGAGUCACUGUGAACUUGAGGAAGGAAGAUGAUACCAGCAAGCAAGCUUACCUGUUAAUAAAACAGCCACUGGCACUGAAGCUGACGGAUGGGAAUCAAAUGAAGUGUGCUAAGUGUUGCUGCUGUAGGCUUUCAUCUCCCUACAUUUGUGGUAUGAUUUAUCCUGGUAAUACAUCAUGUGCCUCAUUUUCUUUUGCUUAUUUUAUUUAGUGUUGUCACAAAUAAUAUCAUUUGACCAUCUACCAUGAGCACUAAGCAGUUGCAAAUUAAUGAAAUAAACUGAAUCUAUGGAACUCAUCUGUCCCAAAUUUGAUUAGAGAUGCCGGUGUUGUACCAAGCCAUUUACUACAGAUGAACCUCAUUUAUUAAGGACACAGCUUUGCGGGGUCUUAGCUAACUACGGUAAAUUGUUAAGCAUAGUAUUUGCAAUGAUUUUAAUGAAACAGUUAAAAGUGACUUUUUUAUAUCUUAGUCAUGAUUGGUGUUUUAUGUUUCUAAAACUGAUGUUUUUAGUUACUCUGCUUUGUUCUGAGUCACUGGCGUACAUCUGCAUAAGUGCCUCU